UACGAAGGGGGCUAGCGUUGUUCGGAAUCACUGGGCGUAAAGCGCACGCAGGCGGAUUGAUAAGUCAGGGGUGAAAUCCCGGAGCUCAACUUCGGAAUUGCCUUUGAUACUGUCUAUCUUCGAGUUCGGGAGAGGUUGGCGGAAUUCCUAGUGUAGAGGUGAAAUUCGUAGAUAUUAGGAAGAACACCAGUGGCGAAGGCGGCCAACUGGCCCGAUACUGACGCUCAUGUGCGAAAGCGUUGGGAACAAACAGG
rnacentral:rRNA from 1 species